GGCUCCGUAGUUCAACUGGAUAGAAUAUCAGAUUUCGGCUCUGAGGGUUGAGGGUUCGAAUCCUUCCGGGGUCACAA
rnacentral:tRNA from 1 species